AGGCGCUAAAUACUUAACGCUGUUACAAAACCAAAUGUGAAGUGUUUAACUAGUUCUAUAUACUAGUUUAAAUGUGUAAAAUAAAGAUUGAACUUUGUCGCUGGUGUUUAUUAUCGCUAUAAACAGAGUUCUGUCGGAAUUCAGAUUAUAAAUGAACCCAAAAAAAUCGCUUAGCUUAGCUUAGCUUUCCGUGGCUAGGUACACAGAGAGGCUAAGAGCGAUGGCGUUCCCGGAGCCCCGGCCUCAACCUGACCGACUUCCACAGCACUUGCUUCGGUCUUUAGACUGUCAACAAGCCGCUGUCAGAGCCGUCCGCUUCAAUGCUGAUGGGAAUUACCUGCUGACAUGUGGCAGUGAUAAAAGUCUGAAGUUAUGGAGUGUGAGCAGAGGAACCUUGUUAAAAACCUACAGUGGACAUGGAUAUGAAGUUCUGGACGCAGAUGGGUCGUAUGAUAACAGCCAUCUGUGCUCGUGCAGUGCUGAUAAAACGGUGAUCCUGUGGGACGUAGCGAGCGGACAGGUGAUCCGUAAAAUCCGCGGCCAUGCAGGGAAGGUGAACUGUGUGAGGUUUAAUGAAGAAUCCACUGUGAUGCUUUCAGGUUCUAUAGACGGUACGGUCAGGUGUUGGGAUACCCGCUCCAGGAGGAUGGAGCCCAUUCAGAUCCUGGACGAUGCGAAAGACGGCGUCAGCAGUCUAAGUGUAGUUGAGCAUGAACUGCUAACUGGGUCUGUAGAUGGUAGGGUGAGAAGAUAUGAUCUAAGAAUGGGGCAGCUACACGUUGACUACGUUGCCAGUCCGAUCACAUGUGUGUGUUUCAGUCAGGACGGUCAGUGCAGUCUGAGCUCCAGUCUGGACUCCACUGUUCGUCUACUGGAUAAGAGUACAGGAGAACUGCUGGGACAGUAUACAGGACACCAGAAUAAGGAUUAUAAGUUGGACUGCUGUCUGUCUGAGAGGGACACUCAUGUACUGAGCUGCUCUGAGGAUGGACACGUCUACUGCUGGGACCUGGUUGAGGGAUCACUGACACUAAAGCUUCCUGUGGGAAAAGCCGUCGUCCAAUCACUGUCCUUUCACCCCUCAGAGCCUCUCCUACUGACAGCUACUGAGGGGCGUGUACAGAUCUGGGGGGCAGAGCCUGAGGAGUCCGAUGUAGCUGAAUAAGUUAAAAAUGAGUGUGCGAGUGAAUGAAUAAAUGAGUGUGUGUGUGAGUGAAUGAUGCCCUGUGAUGGACUGCUGCUCUCUCUAUGAUGAAUUCCUUCACCAUGCAGUUUGCAGGACAGACUGUGGACCCACUGCAACCCUGAUCAGGAUUAAGUGUUUAAAUACACCCUGUAUUUUUUGAAAAUUGUAAAUAAUUUUAGAUAAGAAUAUAAACACAUUUAGUUUUAUUUUGUUGGAACAAAGAAAGUCUAAAAUAAAUGUAAAAGAUAUGGAAGUAUAAAAAUGAUUUAUUAACAGUGUACACAGCACAAAGCAAGAAUAAAUAACACUGUAACAAUAAAUAAAUAAUUUAUAGGACAUAAAUAUCUAUUCAGCUUACUAGGAAUGUUCUGAUCUGAUCAUGCUGAUGAUUAUGGAUGAGAAACUUACAGGAGCUGAAGUAGGACAGAAUGCUGAUAUUAAAGCUGCAGUGUGUAGAAUUUACUACUUUUAUUAUAAAAUAUUUAUUAAAGCUUUUUUACUGUACCUGAGAAAUGCAGAAUGGGGCUGAUAAAGCAGGACUUAUUUACAUAUGAUUAUAUACAGUUACAAUUACAAUUUUUAAAAUUAUUAUAAGAAAAUAUAAUAUAUAAUGAAAAUGAUAAUUAGAAAAUGAUGCCCUAAAGAAUCACAUACAGGGCAUGAAUUAACGGUUUCCCCAGAAGAGCUAAUGCUACAAUUAAUAAUAUACUCCUAAACUCUUUAAAUUAAUUCAAUCAGUCAUUUAGUUCACAUAUUUAUAAUAAAAUUUUAGUAGGAUUACACUAGGAGUAAAGUUCUACCCACUGCAGCUUUGUGUCACACACCAAAGAUUGAAUAUAUUUAGCUCGGUUACAAUGAAUAUGUGAAUAUUGGAUCAGUAUCAGUGUCGACCCACAUUCAGAGCUCUGUGAUCAGCACUCUAUUGGAAUAAAAAUGGACACGAUGCAUCUUCUGGUCUGGACCAUGCAAUCCUUCAACCAUGUCAUACAGCAUUCACAGCUAAAUCCAAACUUUUUAGCUUAGAGUCGUUAAACAGUCACUUGAUUGCUGACACGAAUCACCUGGUUUUAUAUACAGCCUGAGCAAGAUUAUUUGUCACUGUUUGCAGAAGAAAAUGAGUUUAGAUGUUCAGCCCAUGCAGGAGCAGGAUGCGGCGGAGAGCUUCUCCACUUUGUGCCAGUGGUGGGAGUUGUCGAGGAAAGCCAUGUCCUCCAGACGUGUGGGGCGGCAGCACGGUGCUUGUUGCCAGGGCACGGCGGGUGGCAGGGCGCCACUCAUGCCCAGGUUGAUAAGGGUCAGGUCAUGGUUAGUGGGCACACUUGGGCAUGAACCGCUGCAAUACUUAAACACUACCAUCUCAUCCGAGUCGUAACCCAAACCCAGAUCUCGUACCUAUGAGUGGGUACCUGCAGUAGGAUGGAAUGCAGAGCACAUGAGGCAUCAGCACUGCGGCGUGAUCGUACUGCUCGUCCAGCCCAUCCUCUCCCAGAUCCUUCAUGUUCCUCCUGUUCUCCACCUCCUCCUGUCUUCAUCUCCUCGAGGAGUUUUGACUCUGAAGAACCAUUAUGUUCUUGAGUGUCCGAUGCUAAAACAGUGUCCAAUGCAGAAACAGACGCAAUUACAAGCAGGCAGCUUGGUAGCAUUCAUCACACACACGUGUGGUGUAUCAAAGUUUGACUUUUGAGCUUUAUUGUGAUGAGUAAAAUCCCUGACAUGAAAAUCUUAAAA